AAGGGGCAGUAAUACAUGAACAACCUACCCUGGGGAUGGGCAUAGCCGGUCUAACGGCCGGGUAAUUCCCAGAGAUUCGGCGAGGAGGCAUCUCUUUGCCGGGAAAUGAAUUUCGCCUCGGGAGGGGUUCAUGAGCUAUCAGCUUGUUGGCGGGGUAAUGGCCCACCAAGGCUUAGACGGCUAGCGGGUGUGAGAGCACGACCCGCGCCACUGGCACUGAGACACUGGCCAGACACCUACGGGUGGCUGCAGUCGAGGAUCUUCGUCAAUGGGCGCAAGCCUGAACGAGCGAUGCCGCGUGAGCGAUGAAGGCCUUCGGGUUGUAAAGCUCAAAAGAAGCGAGAAGGGGAAACUUGAUCAAGCUUCAGUAAGCUCGGGCUAAGUUCGUGCCAGCAGCCGCGGUAAGACGAACCGAGCGAACGUUGUUCGGAAUCACUGGGCUUAAAGGGCGCGUAGGCGGGUGCUCAAGUCUGUGGUGAAAUCCUCCGGCUCAACCGGAGAACUGCCAUGGAUACUGGGUGUCUCGAGGGUGGUAGGGGUAUGCGGAACUAUUGGUGGAGCGGUGAAAUGCGUUGA
rnacentral:rRNA from 1 species